UACGGAGGGUGCAAGCGUUGUCCGGAAUCACUGGGCGUAAAGGGCGCGUAGGCGGCUCAUGAAGGCUGUGGUGAAAGUCCGGGGCUCAACCUCGGAUCGGCCGUGGCGACUCGUGGGCUGGAGCACUGUAGAGGCGGGUGGAAUUCCGGGUGUAGAGGUGAAAUUCGUAGAUAUUGGGAAGAACACCGGUGGCGAAGGCGGCUAUCUGGACCGUAACUGACGCUGAGGCGCGAAAGCGUGGGGAGCAAACAGG
rnacentral:rRNA from 1 species